GUGCCCACUUUGGCAGCACAUAUACUAAAACCGGAACGAUACAGAGAUUAGCACAGCCCCUGCACAAGGAUGACAAGCAAAUUUGUGAAGGGUCCAAUAUUUUU